UGUAUAUCUACUUCAGUUGCUUGUAGUAAUAAACAUGUUUAAUUGCAGUAAUACUACCCAGUUCCGUGAAUAUUCCUUGCCUCAGGGUGCAUCCUGCGUUGUCCCUUCAGGAUUUAAGGUCAGAUCUAAGAUGCUAGAUUCUUUGGGCUACCCCCUACCACCACCACUUGUGUUUGAGUAUAAUGGGCGAUUAGUUGGUACAUUCGAAGAAAGGUUUGGUGAAGUUCACUGCUGGAAAGGGUAUCGUUUAGACAUCUACGCCAACUAUGAGAAGCCUCUCUGGAAGCAACUUGGAAAAAAAGUUGUUGAGCGUGUAUGUAGAAGUGUUGUCUCAGUUGCUUCUUUCAAUGGUAACGGCACGAGGUGUUUUGCUUGCACAGGUUUGCUUAUAACUAUUGAGGACCGCAUGUUUGUCCUUACUUCAGCCAGUUUGGUUAGAACUGGUGAUGCUGAAGACAACAUUGAUCCGAACUUGAUGAUUAAUGUGUUUCUCCCGCCAGAACAAUCAGUGGUGGGGAAACUAGAAUUUUACCAUCAAGAUUACAACAUUGCCACAAGAUAUCUUCGGAGUCACAAAGUCAUCUAAAUCUGAGGUGGUAGCUAUUGGGCGUACAACUAGAGAAAAUGAUGGGUUAUUGAUGGCCUCAAAGGGUAACAUGAAAUGUAUAAGUACAAGAAACAAGGAUUUGGGUUCAAAACUUGAUUGCAAAGAUCUCAAACUGUCAACUUGUCAAAUCAAGAAGGUUGGGAUUGGAGGGCCCCUUAUUUGUCUUGAUGAUGGGAGUUUUGUUGGCAUGAACUUCUAUGAUGAAAGUGGAACAACUCCUUACCUGCCAAGGAGCAGUAUUCUCAAAGUUCUAAAGAGAGGGCGUAGUCUUCUGUCACAAGGAAAAUUGCUCCCUCCCAUUAUGCUGGACACAAAGAGAAGGGGUAAUGCUACAAAGAGGAACCG